GGGAAUAUUGCACAAUGGGCGCAAGCCUGAUGCAGCAACGCCGCGUGAGGGACGACGGCCUUCGGGUUGUAAACCUCUUUUGGCAGGGAAGAAGCGAAAGUGACGGUACCUGCAGAAAAAGCACCGGCUAACUACGUGCCAGCAGCCGCGGUGAUACGUAGGGUGCAAGCGUUGUCCGGAAUUAUUGGGCGUAAAGAGCUCGUAGGCGGUUUGUCGCGUCUGCUGUGAAAACCCGAGGCUCAACCUCGGGCCUGCAGUGGGUACGGGCAAACUAGAGUGCGGUAGGGGAGAUUGGAAUUCCUGGUGUAGCGGUGAAAUGCGUAGAUAUCAGGAGGAACACCGGCGAUGUAGACAGCUUUCUGGACCAAAACUGACGCUGAGGCACGAAAGCGUGGGUACCAAACA
rnacentral:rRNA from 1 species